rnacentral:lncRNA from 1 species
AAGAGGGAGAAAUCCUCCAUCCAUCUAAAUAGACAUACAUAAGAGAGAACAGAAGUUUCACUGGAAGACAGAGGGCUUUCCAUCUUGAACUUAAAUCCAUUUGGGGAAUGACUGAGCCAUUUCUACUCAUCUGAUCCAUCCUAACUGAGGUAUAUCCAGAGAGGAAGGACAAAGGGAGUGAGGGAUGAAAGAAGUGGAGCCAUCAACUACUGUAAGACCCGCGCAAGUUUACCUAGUCAGAAAAUAUUACUGCACCUGCCCUUCUGAGCUCCUCAGAUUAAGAAAACUGACUUGCAGGAAACUCUCACCUCACUCAUAGCAGAAGCCCUGAGAUCAGCUAUUGAAGAUAAAUGUGAAACGAGCAACUUCACAGUCCUGCAGACAACAGCUCCUGACCUGGAGUGCUGCUGGAUGGAAAGCAUCUGGCAAAUUUGGAAGUGCAGGACAGAAUUAGGAAGAUAACAGCAUGAAAAGGCUGGAGGAGGUGAAGGAGGGAACAAGGUUGAUAAGGAGGAAGGUGUACAGUCUGGAUGAGGUAGGGAGGCAGAGGACAGAGACAUAGGAAAAUGCGUUUGUGAGAUGCAGGCUCACAAAGGGGUUUCAUAAAGGGAAGGAGGAGCAGUGUACUCAGUGAUGGCAAGACAUGAAAUGUCAAGCUUGAACUGAAGGAAAUAAUGUUCUUCUAGAGUUUUUAUGAAUAAAGGCAGUACAAAUAACA